CGAAUCGUUGGAGCCUUA
rnacentral:siRNA from 1 species